ACGGGAGGCAGCAGUGGGGAAUAUUGCACAAUGGGGGGAACCCUGAUGCAGCAACGCCACGUGUGGGAAGAAGCAUUUCGGUGUGUAAACCACUGUCGUGAGGGAAUAAUGCUUGGCUCCGGCCAAGUUGAAUGUACCUCGAAAGGAAGCACCGGCAAACUUCGUGCCAGCAGCCGCGGUAAUACGAGGGGUGCAAGCGUUGUUCGGAAUCACUGGGCGUAAAGGGAGCGUAGGCGGAGACGCAAGCAGUCUGUACAAUACCGGGGCCCAACCCCGGACCUGCAGACUGGACUGUGUCUCUUGGAUAGUUCAGGGGCAGGCGGAAUUCCUGGUGUAGCGGUGGAAUGCGUAGAGAUCAGGAAGAACACCGAUGGCGAAGGCAGCCUGCUGGGGACUCAUCGACGCUGAGGCUCGAAAGCGUGGGGAGCAAACAGGAUUAGAUACCCUGGUA
rnacentral:rRNA from 1 species